rnacentral:miRNA from 1 species
UUAGCAGUGCCUCGACCGUCAG